rnacentral:rRNA from 1 species
AUUGAACGCUGGCGGCAGGCCUAACACAUGCAAGUCGAGCGGAUGAAGGGAGCUUGCUCCUGGAUUCAGCGGCGGACGGGUGAGUAAUGCCUAGGAAUCUGCCUGGUAGUGGGGGAUAACGUCCGGAAACGGGCGCUAAUACCGCAUACGUCCUGAGGGAGAAAGUGGGGGAUCUUCGGACCUCACGCUAUCAGAUGAGCCUAGGUCGGAUUAGCUAGUUGGUGGGGUAAAGGCCUACCAAGGCGACGAUCCGUAACUGGUCUGAGAGGAUGAUCAGUCACACUGGAACUGAGACACGGUCCAGACUCCUACGGGAGGCAGCAGUGGGGAAUAUUGGACAAUGGGCGAAAGCCUGAUCCAGCCAUGCCGCGUGUGUGAAGAAGGUCUUCGGAUUGUAAAGCACUUUAAGUUGGGGGGAAGGGCAGUAAGUUAAUACCUUGCUGUUUUGACGUUACCAACAGAAUAAGCACCAGCUAACUUCGUG